rnacentral:rRNA from 1 species
UACGAACUGUGCGAACGUUAUUCGGAAUCACUGGGCUUACAGGGUGCGUAGGCGGCUCAACAAGUCACUUGUGAAAUCUCCGGGCUUAACCCGGAGCGGUCAAGUGAUACUGUCGUGCUAGAGUGCGGAAGGGGCUACUGGAAUUCUCGGUGUAGCGGUGAAAUGCGUAGAUAUCGAGAGGAACACCUGCGGCGAAGGCGGGUAGCUGGGCCGACACUGACGCUGAUGCGCGAAAGCCAGGGGAGCGAACGGG